CCCGCCCCCUUCUUUUCUCUAUUUGCAUUGAUCAAUUAGUCAUAACUUGGGUGCUGGUGAUUUAUUAAUGAAUCCCAGUACCAAAGUACUAUUGGUCCUUUUGUCUCCAAGGUAACAGGGCAGAGAAGGGACUGGAGACUGGCGCUGUGGUUGAAUGUCAAAAUGCUUCUUGUGUUUGCUAAACAGAUCUCCACUAGAAGACAGUGGAAAUCUUAUUCAGAGGAAAUCACUGAGAAUCAUCAUAAAAAAAUAUGACGUAAUAACAGUGAAGGUGAAAAUUAAAAUAUCCACACCCGGGCCCAGUGAGGGAGAUGUGAUUAGCCUAAUAUGACAGUUUGAAAACAGAAGCAGGAAGAAAAUAAGAGGAUGUGCCCCAAUGCAAAGAGGGAGAGAAGUUUUUCUCUGAGGAGUCCUGAAUCCAACAUGAAGCCGCUGUCGUCGCGUUAAUGAUGUUUAUGGCUUUGACUUUCCUGCCAAACAUCAACACUACGCUCUUUGUGGUGAAACAGACUUGAAAGUGGUCCCUGCAGCUUUCACACUAUAGCAAGCCUUAAUGAGACCCUUAAAUCCUUGCAUCCACUCAUCCCUAUUCAUGCAUAACCUGAGUCAGUUCAUGUGCCCACUGAAAUUCUGUUCUGCUGAAAUAAAUGCGUUAUUCUCCUGCAUGGGAUUUCAGAAUGAAGUGGUUUUACUUUCAGCACAAACAAGUUAUGGCUAAAGGUGUCUACACGUCUUACUGGACAUCUGAUCAUUUAAAGAGUCAUGGUAUAGGUCCAAUGGAUAGUUUUGACCUUCCUCCCUUCCCUCUCAUUGAUAACUUGCUUCUCGUGU